CUCCUAAGGGAGGCAGCAGUGGGGAAUAUUGCACAAUGGAGGAAACUCUGAUGCAGCGACGCCGCGUGAAGGAUGAAGUAUUUCGGUAUGUAAACUUCUAUCAGCAGGGAAGAAAAUGACGGUACCUGACUAAGAAGCCCCGGCUAACUACGUGCCAGCAGCCGCGGUAAUACGUAGGGGGCAAGCGUUAUCCGGAAUUACUGGGUGUAAAGGGAGCGCAGGCGGGAAGACAAGUUGGAAGUGAAAUCUAUGGGCUCAACCCAUAAACUGCUUUCAAAACUGUUUUUCUUGAGUAGUGCAGAGGUAGGCGGAAUUCCCGGUGUAGCGGUGGAAUGCGUAGAUAUCGGGAGGAACACCAGUGGCGAAGGCGGCCUACUGGGCACCAACUGACGCUGAGGCUCGAAAGUGUGGGUAGCAAACAGGAUUAGAUACCCUGGUAGUCCACACCGUAAACGAUGAUUACUAGGUGUUGGAGGAUUGACCCCUUCAGUGCCGCAGUUAACACAAUAAGUAAUCCACCUGGGGAGUACGACCGCAAGGUUGAAACUCAAAGGAAUUGACGGGGGCCCGCACAAGCAGUGGAGUAUGUGGUUUAAUUCGACGCAACGCGAAGAACCUUACCAAGUCUUGACAUCCCUUGACGAUGCUGGAAACAGCAUUUCUCUUCGGAGCAAGGAGACAGGUGGUGCAUGGUUGUCGUCAGCUCGUGUCGUGAGAUGUUGGGUUAAGUCCCGCAACGAGCGCAACCCUUAUGGUCAGUUACUACGUAAGAGGACUCUGGCCAGACUGCCGUUGACAAAACGGAGGAAGGUGGGGAUGACGUCAAAUCAUCAUGCCCUUUAUGACUUGGGCUACACACGUACUACAAUGGCGUUAAACAAAGAGAAGCAAGACCGCGAGGUGGAGCAAAACUCAGAAACAACGUCCCAGUUCGGACUGCAGGCUGCAACUCGCCUGCACGAAGUCGGAAUUGCUAGUAAUCGUGGAUCAGCAUGCCACGGUGAAUACGUUCCCGGGCCUUGUACACACCGC
rnacentral:rRNA from 1 species